ensembl:lncRNA
GGGCAAAACAUUUGUGUGAGUGUGUUUGAAGUGGGUGCUUUCAUUAUUAUAAGAACCAUGAAUAUUGCACACUGUUUGCACAGAAUUUAGUAGCUGUAAAUGUAAAGUUGUCACUAUUCUUAAAAAUCAUGUCUGUAGUAACUUACCAGGACCUGGGCCUGUGCUUUGGAGGUAGCCCUCGCCCUCAGUUGGAUAAUUCAAACUCAUGACCCUGUUGAACAACUGAACCAGAUGGCAUAUUAGCAUAAACCAUUGUGACCCAAGCGUAAAUUUCACUGCUCUUUCACUGGUUUUGAACAUGAAGAAUAUCUGAAGUAUUAUCACUGUAUUUUGCCGUACACACAGGGCCGUAUUCAGAGUUUGUGACGUAAGGUCACAAAUCUCAGACGUUUAUUUACAUCUCUAAGCCUGUGCACCUGAUUCAUUUCUGCUUUUCAUUUAUAAUUAUGUAUGAUCCCUUUUUCAUGCUGCCUGCAUGUGUUCAAACACUGAUCAGAUUAUAAAGAUGAUUUGUAGAAGCCUAAACGAAGACGUUUUCGGUCCUGCCUCUGCACACACAUUAGUCCAGAAGUCAUGUUUGGGAAAUGUUUGUAAGUUGACUUUCUGGCUUUUAUGUUCAGAUUUUAAACUAACAGACCUUUAAACACUAAAACCCUAAAAAAUAAAUCAGAGAUUAGAGGGAAAUAGUGUUUUUUCCCCUUUGUUCUCAAAUAUAAUAUGAUGUACCAAAAAAAAAGACACAUUGUGGUUGCAUCAAACAGUAAGAUGGUGGACUUCAUACUGCUGGACUUAAUACUGCUCCUCACUCGAGAAGAUAUCACACAAGAACAAUGUGCUAAAGUUCAAGGUAGGAAUCACCUGACUCUGAGACACGUCUCUGUUUUAGACAAACCCCGCCCCCAUGUGCGUAAAUCUGACCUCACUGCUGUAGUAAAGUCAGUAGUCACUUCUAAGGUCUGAAUACUGAUGUGUGGAAUUUCAGUAUUAAAUCCUCACUCAGUAAUUAACUCUACUCUGAAUACGACCCGACAUAUGAUGAUUUAGGAAGUAAGUAAUGUUAACAAAACAUUGCUUUGGAUUAAAAACUGUGGUUGCUUCUAUAAGUAGUCAGUUUUCUUACCCGAUGCAUGACACUGAUCUCUAAAAAUGGCACCGCAAAUGUGUUGUUGCUCUAGUUCUGUGUAGACAAGUGUCACUUAGUAAACUUUUGAUUAUAAAACACAUAAAGGGAUACAGAAAACUGAAUGCAGUGUAUAAAACACUAGAGGCACAGAAUUGCGGUUUUAAAUCCAGUUUGCAGAGCGGAGGACCGUCCUUUAUGAUUGCUCUAAGGGUGAAGUUAAUUUUAGACUUGUUUUUCACCUUUGUGUGGUAGGUUUGAGAAAGAGGUGGGACUUAUUUAAAGUGAACUAUAAAAUAAAGACCUGGCCAUGGCAGGACCUCACCUUAAAACCAGUAUAGGAGGAAUAACCAGAUUUUUAUAUAACAUGUAAUGUAGCACAGUAAGGCUAUUAGACAAGCAGCAGUCAGCCAUAACACAAGGACAGGAGGAAUUCAAGAUUAGACCAUGAUAUAUUUAUCUUUAUAUUUAUAGAAUUCAUUUCUAUUUAUAAUAUAAGGAAUUUAGUGUUUUAAUAAAACUAAAUUAUAUCCAUUAUAAAUCUUCUUUGCCUUGCAUUCUUUAGAUUGUGUUUGUCCACCAUUUUGCUUACGGCACACUUUGUGAUCCCUUUCACAUCUUCUUUCAUAUCACAUUCCCUCUCUGAUCAGCUUUUGGUUUAUGUUGAUUACUGUAUUUUUUAUUAAAUUUAUUUUUAACUUUUCCUUUAAAAGUUUAAUGUUCUUGGAUUUCUUUUUAAUUACAAACAAGAUCAACAGCUUUAUUUUCUUAGGGUUUUUUUUUUUUUACAUGGUAAUCAUGAUUAUGCAAAUUUUGCUUGCAUUGUUGCUUUAGUUUCUACUCAGUAAAUAAAGCAAGCUCCAUCUUUUAUAUAAUAGCUAAAUGUAAUUACAUAAUGAAUAAACAUAAUAUCUCAUUUUCCAGUGGAUGUAAUCGUAUCCCUGGCUACAACAGAAACAUAAUCAUGGUAUUGUAAUAUAUUCAGUUAGUCGGACCAUUUCGGACUGAGAAACAUUAACAAAUAUAUUUUGACCUUAAUGUUCAGUGCUACAGAAAGUCUUUCUUUAACUUACUGUUUCUUCUGCUCUGGCUGGAAAGCUGCUCCGACGCUGUGAGUCUGCCUCACUGAAGACGUGUGGG